GACAAGCAAUUCCACUGUGUUUAUACAUUGUUAGGAUAAGAAUUUAAAUGAGCUAAUUAACCUAGUGAGAAGUAAGGAUUUAGUCUAGAGAGUUUUAAAUUCUACCUGGGCUCCUUUAAGCAGAGAAGGAAAGAGUGAUCUGUGGGUGACUUAAAGAGAAUUUCCUGAUAGGAAAGUCGGCUGAGAGAACCGGGGUCUCUCUGGAGCUUCCUCGCUUGGAGCAGGUGACCGGGGAGUUGGCUCUGAUAAAUCUGUGAAGAAUUUUCUUAAGAGUUAUUUUUGGAGAAGUCAAGAAACAUCUUUUCAGCUAGAGAAGACUGGGGCAAGUGAGCGCUUUUUCUCAGAGAGGGAAAGCUACCGAAGAGGGCGCUGUCUCCUCUCGCUGGAGCUGCCGAGUCAAUUUCAGGCACCGGCUGCGAGGAGAGACAGAUCAUAAACUGCCAUCAAUUGAAAAUUCGUUGGACGCAGCUGAUUAUCCCUAACUUAUGUGCUCCAUCACUCUGCUUAGAAUUCUAAAGGAAAUCAUUUAAGAACGGCUCUUGGAAAGAACACUGGUGGAAAGAGAUAGAGAUUCACUACGCAAAGCUUUGGGGAUCUGCUGCUGGCCAAGUGUGAAUGAGGGACCCAUGUACUAUUGUUCAAUGAUGCAAAGUCCUCUAAAUGGCUGUUGAGCCAGAACUUGGUGGAGAUCCCCUGUUGCUCUUUGCCUUUGUGGCUGUGAGUAAGGCAGGAUGACUUGGAGCAGCCUGGAGGGGCAAAGGAGUUUCUCAUUCAAAAAUGAUUCUGAGCACGCAGCUAGCCCAGCUUGCCUUUCGAUUUAUUCUUCCUGAUCUUAGGUGAAUGAAUGUCCCAAGAUAGAAUUGUCCAGGUGGUGACUGGACAUCUCAAGAUGACUCUUGAGAGUAAAUAAAGGUCUGAGGUCCGCAGCUUGGGCAGUGGUAGCAGUGUCCAUCCAUAGAACUGCAGCAGAUGACUGUUUUUGUUGGGAAUAGAGGGCUAUUCUGUAACACAAACCCCUGGGAGCACAACCCCUUAUGGGAGAGAGGAAUGUUAGUCGUGGGUUUAAGCAAUCAAUCAAUCACUAUUAAAUGUCUAUGAUGUGUCAGACGUUCUGCUAAGAAAGGCACAGAUCCUGAGAGGAGAGGAAGAUGGAAGAUGGGAGAUGUGGGACAUAUAUUCUAUCCAGAUUCAUUUUUACAUCCCACUCCUUUCUGCUUUGAUGUUACUUGACUCUGACUUCACAAAGAAAGUCAGCAGCCAGACCCAGGCUGAGAUAAAAAUGGCCGCAAAGCCUGCCAAUCAAACGUGAUUAUUGAACAUCUGGUUCUCCCCUCUUUCUUCCUUUUCUCUUUACUUAUUUUUCUUGGAAGAAA